GACAGAGGGUGCAAACGUUGUUCGGAAUUACUGGGCGUAAAGCGCGUGUAGGCGGCCCUGCAAGUCGGGUGUGAAAUCCCACGGCUCAACCGUGGAAGUGCACUCGAAACUGCAGGGCUAGAGUCCUGGAGAGGAAGGUGGAAUGCUUGGUGUAGAGGUGAAAUUCGGUAGAUAUCAAGCGGAACACCGGUGGCGAAGGCGGCCUUCUGGACAGUGACUGACGCUGAGACGCGAAAG
rnacentral:rRNA from 1 species